UGAGCGCCCGCUUAAGGAAGGCCACACACUACGUUUGCAGUUGGCAAACAAGUUGGGGUUUGUUUGUAAGUGCCAAUUAUGUGUGCCAAUUUCAACACGCGCGCAACGCCAGUACAGUGCUGCAGUUUCAAUUACGUGCGCAUUAGAGACAUCAUCGUAAAAAUAUAUAGUAAGAAAAAGAGUGGAGUAUAGAGGUGAUAGGAGGGUAAAACAGGUGAAACACAGGUAAUAUGCAAAUAUCUUGGGCCAUAAUGUGCCGAUAUUUUAGUGGUAUACUCUUCGAUUUACUUGGCUCUUAGUGGCCCGGUGUUACCAUCUUCAUUUGUUUUUAAUGAUUUUCGUGAUGAAGAUGUUGAAAUAAUCAUAGGAACAACUGACGAUGAUAGGUCAACGGGGCUGCCAAGAAAGGGCUCACUGAUCCAGUAAAUUGUAGACGUAAUUGCAAAGUAAAAAUUGCAUAGCCAAUAUUUUACGUGGACUACUCAUUUUGGAACGUCUGCAGCGAGAAGAAUGGCGCCACCGAUGAAAGAAGAUUCUAUAGGAUUCAACGGGGGUUGAUGAUGCAACCGCACAUUUGGAUUUCAUUCUCCACUUAACCUCGGUCACGAAACAGCCAGCGCUUCAUGUGGCAAGAGCCUCCCGGCGGGCAAAUUGAACGCCGAUACUCGACACGCGUCUGGCGUUUGUUAUUCGUGCCGACGACGAUAUACCCCUGGCACUGUUGCUAUAUAAAGAGCCUACUUAUCUGGAACAUGGGAAAAUAAAGUAAGUCGUUUUAUUGCUACUUCUUUUUUCUGAGUAUUUGAGGCGGAUGUUUACGUCAUUUGAUUUUUUGUGUGUGAAGGAAUUAAGAUCUUAAGUUCUUCUGUAAAGAUAUUUUGCUGUCACAAACUAAUUUAAUUUUGUAUUUCAACUUCUUUAAUCCAAAAAGGUAUUCACACUUAAUUUAGGUAGCAGAAGUGCGAGCAGCAGACCACACAGGUACUAACAAACAAAUCAAAUUAGAAUCGAUACACCAAGACGUGGAUAAUUGAAAAACAAACGAACCGCAAGACACACUUCUGUCAUUAUUUCGACCAGCUGCUAAUCUGAAAAUCGGAAAACCAAAUAAACUGUUGGUAAAGUGCCGUUGUUAAGCUGUGCAAACCAAUUUCGACUUCUCGUGUGAGACAUGGAAAGGAAAAGGCAAAAAUCAACUUCCACCGUAAAUCCACAAAUCCGGCUAGGCCGGCAUGUAAUGAAUGGGGACGGCCCACGUGUGCGAAAUGUAUCACUCCUUUUCUCCACUCAAAAGCGGAAUAAUAGUGCUCCACAUUUUGUCGAGUCCUUUCAAAAGUACUCCACACCUUUACAAUCAAACCCUUUACAAUUGCCUUCCCUUUUCAUUGACGACACGACCCCUUUUUGCGCUCAAUUGUUGAUUUCACACGAAAAGUCUAUAUUUGGACAGGCGGAGAAAGGGUUUUACACUGACGAGUAUGUGGAACAUCUAGGGUACAGUGGAGGGUCUUUUCAACCCCAUCGAUCUUUGCCAAUCUUAUGGUCGCCUAUGUGGAGCUUGUUGCACAGCGGUCGACUUUUUAACCGAGUGGGAGGUAUAGAAUUGAAGUUCUAUACUUUCCCUGCUUAUUCCAGACAUUGCAAGAAGAUGGGACUCAGGUGAACUGUAUGUAGAAGUGUGUCAGAAAGCCAAGCAUAUACCACCCACAUCGCUAUUUGUUUUCUUUUCGUUUUAGUUAACAGCUAGUAGAUCUUAUUCUCUUCUCUAUUUUUUUUAGAUUUCAUUUCCGGAGCCACUUGAAAUCUUCUGGAAAGCGAUACCUCGUCUAAAGAAUGGAAAGAAAAUGAAAAUCCCCCCUUUUUUUUUCAUUCAUUGAUUUGAGUUUUAUUUACGAUAAGGCUAUCAUCUAUAAGCAACACCUUUUUAAACGGAGUGUUCAUUUUUCCUUUCUAAUUUCACCAGGCAUCGAGAAAAAUGGAAUCACAGUCGCUAUGAAGAUAUGGGACGAGGUCCUUUUUCUUACCCAUUCAAAGGAGUAAAGAAAAAUGCGGAGGGGGGGUUCCGGCUAAACGGAAUCGAAUCAAUAAAUCAAUCAAGGUUGUUGAAGAAAGAUUUUGGAGGCCAAGAGAAGUAAAAGGAAAUGAGAUAAAACGAAAACCCUUUCCAACAAAUUGUAAUACUCCGCGGAUGGUAGGCAGGUCAUUACGUACUUCCUGGAUUAAAAAACAGUACGAUGAGUUCACAUGAGGCUUUUACACAUCAGCGUUGAUUUCAGCUCGAACAUCAUUCUUUUGAAAGAGUUUAAGAGUAAAGAAAAUCGAAAAAAAUAGACGAAUGGGGAGGAAAAAUGGGCACAUAAGAGGUAUCAUCAAUCGAUCCUAUCUUUCAGUGGCCGGCCACCUGGAGUUUCCAGGUCAAUCAAAAGUAAUUCACCUCACCGCAAUGCCAUGACUAAACCAAUUCCAAUAUAGGAUCCUAGGUCAAGGUAUUCUGCAUCCAGUUCACAUUGAUAUGGAUUUCAUUUAAUCCUGUUAUUUGGAACACCAUAACGUCAAGGAAUCGGGAAUAGUAUUCUUUGAUCGCUAUAAACAAAAUAUGUAUGUGUGGAUGUUGUGACAUCGUGCGGUACUGUCACGCUCAUAUAUCAGGUUCGAGUCUUAACAUAUCUGAUUUUUAAUGCGCUUGUCACUGUUAAUACCAUUUAAAACCCUGUUAAUUACUGGGCUUUUAAUAUUAAUGAAGAUAUGCGAUGUAGGUUAUUGUAGUCCAUCUACCGUGACUCGUAUAUUGGGGACAAUGUUUAUUAGACAUAAAUUGAAUGUAAUGAAAGGCCACCUUUGGGAUCAGCUUACUGUGUGAUUGAUAUUUU